AACGAACGCUGGCGGCAGGCCUAACACAUGCAAGUCGAACGAACCUUUUAGGUGAGUGGCGCACGGGUGCGUAACACGUGGGAAUAUACACUUCGGUAAGGAACAACACAGAGAAAUUUGUGCUAAUACCUUAUAAUGACUCCGGUCCAAAGAUUUAUCGCCGAAGGAUUAGCCCGCGCUAGAUUAGUUUGUUGGUGAGGUAAGAGCUCACCAAGACUACGAUCUAUAGCUGGUCUUAGAGGAUGAUCAGCCACACUGGAACUGAGACACGGUCCAGACUCCUACGGGAGGCAGCAGUGAGGAAUAUUGGACAAUGGGGGCAACCCUGAUCCAGCCAUGCCGCGUGAAUGAAGAAGGCCUUAGGGUUGUAAAAUUCUUUCAGAUGCGAAGAUAAUGACGGUACCAUCAGAAGAAGCUCCGGCUAAAUUCGUG
rnacentral:rRNA from 1 species